GCUCUACUGUUUGCUAUUUUGAUUCAAGAUUCUGUCAUUCUGAUCAGCUGAUUAAGAAGAGACCAGCAUCACUGAGGUGAAAUCUCUGAGAAGGGUUUCCUAAAGCCACAUUACAGAGAUGGUGGCCAAGGUUGUACCUCAUACUGGUAGCCAGACUUGGGGUUGUAGUUCACACAACUUGAGGCCAACUCAGAGCGUAGCCUGAAAAGCCCAUUCUUCUCAGCAUCACAUUCCCUUGUAAGAUGAUGUGCAUAAAGACUCUUGAAGCU